GGUUGUUUGGACCGAGCGGCCAAAGGCACUUGACUUAAAAUCAGGUUUGACGUGGGUUCGACUCCCACAACAACCA